rnacentral:rRNA from 1 species
GGGGAAUAUUGCACAAUGGAGGAAACUCUGAUGCAGCGAUGCCGCGUGAGGGAAGAAGGUUUUAGGAUUGUAAACUUCUUUUAUUAAGGACGAAACUUGACGGUACUUAAUGAAUAAGCUCCGGCUAACUACGUGCCAGCAGCCGCGGUAAUACGUAGGGAGCAAGCGUUGUCCGGAUUUACUGGGUGUAAAGGGUGCGUAGGCGGCUUUGCAAGUCAGAUGUGAAAUCUAUGGGCUCAACCCAUAAACUGCAUUUGAAACUGUAGAGCUUGAGUGAAGUAGAGGCAGGCGGAAUUCCCCGUGUAGCGGUGAAAUGCGUAGAGAUGGGGAGGAACACCAGUGGCGAAGGCGGCCUGCUGGGCUUUAACUGACGCUGAGGCACGAAAGCGUGGGUAGCAAACAGGAUUAGAUACCCUGGUAGUCCACGCUGUAAACGAUGAUUACUAGGUGUGGGGGGUCUGACCCCUUCCGUGCCGGAGUUAACACAAUAAGUAAUCCACCUGGGGAGUACGGCCGCAAGGUUGAAACUCAAAGGAAUUGACGGGGGCCCGCACAAGCAGUGGAGUAUGUGGUUUAAUUCGAAGCAACGCGAAGAACCUUACCAGGUCUUGACAUCCAACUAACGAAGUAGAGAUACAUUAGGUGCCCUUCGGGGAAAGUUGAGACAGGUGGUGCAUGGUUGUCGUCAGCUCGUGUCGUGAGAUGUUGGGUUAAGUCCCGCAACGAGCGCAACCCUUGCUAUUAGUUGCUACGCAAGAGCACUCUAAUAGGACUGCCGUUGACAAAACGGAGGAAGGUGGGGACGACGUCAAAUCAUCAUGCCCCUUAUGACCUGGGCUACACACGUACUACAAUGGAUGUUAACAGAGGGAAGCAAGACAGCGAUGUGGAGCAAACCCCUAAAAACAUUCUCAGUUCAGAUUGCAGGCUGCAACCCGCCUGCAUGAAGAUGGAAUUGCUAGUAAUCGCGGAUCAGCAUGCCGCGGUGAAUACGUUCCCG